AUCUUGGACGAAAAGGAGAUGGUGUCCUAUAUCCUAUCAGUUCUCGACAUGGAGUAUAACCCCUUGGUUCAAUUCAUUGUUGCGAGGUCAGAUCCAGUUUCAUUAAGUGAUCUGUAUGUACAAAUGUUGAGCUUUGACA